GUCCUCCAUGUAGUUACUUUUCGUUUAGAAAAAAAGGGCGUGUUAAGCCAAUAUUACCGCCAAAGACUUCAGACAAGUCACGGAUAAGUCAAGAUACAAAUGAGCCCGAAUGGCCACACCUAUUCACACCUAUUCACCCCAUUCCUAUUCAUAACACACUAUUCACACCAUUCCUAUUCAUAACACACUAUUCACACCUAUUCACACCAUUCCUAUUCAUAACACACUAUUCACACCUAUUCACACCAUUCCUAUUCAUAACACAUUAUGUCCAGUAAAGUGAUUGGGCACGUGCGUGCCCGUUCAUGUGUGGUAAUAUUUACCCUUUAGGUGGCGGUAUUGCAUUCUAUAUCUGUAUAUCUCUAUACAGCUCUGAAAACAGUUUGCAAAACACACAACCAACUGAGGGAGCCAAAAUGGUCAACAUGGGUUGUAAACCCAUUUUUUUUUUUUUUUAUCGCCACCAAUUUAAUUUAAUGUCACCCUAUAGACAAGUUAAAAGCAUUAUAUCUGUCUUUUCUGUUUCAUCAUCCCCUUAGAACAUUGGAAUUUUUGUCAAGUCAGAGAAUGUCUGACGCAGACGGGCUCUGGUCAAGUCAAGACUAAAAUGGGAAAACGACACAGAUAAGAUACUGAGGGAGAACAUUAGGACAUGGACCCCUGAUGACCUUUGACCCCAUGACCUUGAGUACCUAAGAGCUGGUGUUCAUUCUCACAACAGGACAGUAUUAAAACCACUUAAUGGAUUUGACAUGAGGAUUCAUGCCAGGGAUAACAUCCGCCGAGGCAUGCAGAAAUAAUGGAGGAGACGGAUGCAAAGACUUCCCCGAAGCAGAAAGAGUUUUCUCCACCAAGUUAAUUAAUUCUGUAUAUUGGGACACCUUGCAGGAUGUUGCCAGUCAUUUAUGUAGACAAUGGGCAUGCAUUUAUAGCACAAAAAGGGAAAUGCAGUUCAGUUUAAAAAGAGGCCGACCUGUUAAAUGUAUCCCUCUACAUUCAUUGGUUACGGAAAUGAUGGUGGGUAGUAUGCUAUGUCAGUGGUUCUCAACUGGUCUGUCUUUGGGACCCUCCAGAUCAGUGGCACAGCCAUGGGUGCCACUAUGGCCCCUGACUAUGCCCAUUUAUAUCUUGGUUUCUUAGAAGAACAGUAUGUGUUCAAUAGCAAUCCUUUUUUUUAGAGAAGAUCAUGUUGUUCAAAAGAUACAUUGAUGAUUGUUUUGUGGCUCAUUACCUGAAUUUGAAUCGUUUGUCUUGUAUAUUAACUGCCUAAGACCAUUCAUCAAGUUUACUUAUUCAGCUAGUACCACCUGUGUGAACUUUGUAGACACUUGUAUUUCACUUACUGAUGGAAACAUUGUCUCCUCUUUGUACAGGAAAGACACAGAGAAAAAUAGUUUACUUCAUGCCACAAGUGUCCAUCCUACAUCUCUGAAACAAGGUCUGCCCUUCAGUCAGUUCACUAGACUGCACCAGAUUUGCUCCGACAAAAAUGACUUUGAGGCCCAAGCCAGAAUCCUAUACAGAAAUUUUAGCUCUAGAGGAUAUCCCAACAGCUGGCUUGAUAGAGCACUAGACAAAGUAUGUGCAUCUGAAACACAACCACCCAAUUUGACCUCUAAACAAAAGGAGAACCGCUCUAUUCUAAAAUUGACAUAUAGUCCUUUGAGCAGUGACAUCAGAAACAUUGUUAAUUCGCAUUGGCAUAUAAUUAAAAGCGAUGAUCAACUGAAUGGUCUCUUUCACAAUUUACCUCUGUGUAUUUUCUAGAAACCCUAAUCUCAGAGAGGCUGGUCCAUGCUGACACUGCCACGCCGCCUCCUCCUAGCACUCUCUCUAAUGCCAACGUCUGCAGGGCACUCCAUUGCUGACCUGAGAUUUCUGGGUGUGGAAAGGAUCUCUAGGAUCUCGCCUAAAAGGAGAGGUGGGGACUUGGAUAAAACAUUGCUUCAGAGAGAAUGUUUCUGGAUUUUUGAACUUGGUAGCCUUUGUCCAAAAGGGAUGAACGAGGACUUAAAUCUAUCAUGCUUUUUGUAAAACUUUUAUCUCACUAACUCUUUUAAAUUAAUGUCUACAAGUGUUGUAACAAAAACAAAUGCAUCUAUACUUGUUGUCUGGGUCUGGCCUAAAGCCCCUCCCACCACACCUGUGUCUUAAUUGCCCUUAACCCAACUGGGUAUUUGUUAAUUGCAUGUCUGCAGUUGAUUCACUGUGAGCAUUGAGAAUAGCCGGACGGCUGAAACGUCUGCUCUUGCUCCCAAAAUUAAAUGGAAAAACUCUUUCUUUCUGAA